CAGCAGCCGCGGUAAUACGUAGGGUGCAAGCGUUAAUCGGAAUUACUGGGCGUAAAGCGUGCGCAGGCGGUUCGCUAAGACAGAUGCGAAAUCCCCGGGCUUAACCUGGGAACUGCAUUUGUGACUGGCGGGCUAGAGUAUGGCAGAGGGGGGUGGAAUUCCGCGUGUAGCAGUGAAAUGCGUAGAUAUGCGGAGGAACACCGAUGGCGAAGGCAGCCCCCUGGGCCAACACUGACGCUCAUGCACGAAAGCGUGGGGAGCAAACAGGAUUAGAGACCCCAGUAGUCCCUGUCUCUUAUAC
rnacentral:rRNA from 1 species